rnacentral:rRNA from 1 species
GGAGGCUGCUCAAGUCAGGCGUGAAAUCCCCGGGCUUAACCUGGGAAUUGCGCUUGAGACUGAGCGGCUUGAGUUCGGGAGAGGUGAGUGGAAUUCCCAGUGUAGAGGUGAAAUUCGUAGAUAUUGGGAAGAACACCGGUGGCGAAGGCGGCUCACUGGACCGAUACUGACGCUGAGGCGCGAAAGCGUGGGGAGCAAACAGGAUUAGAUACCCUAGUAGUC